GAAAUGCGAUAAGUAGUGUGAAUUGCAGAAUUCAGUGAAUCAUCGAAUCUUUGAACGCACAUUGCGCCCCUUGGUAUUCCAUGGGGCAUGCCUGUUCGAGCGUCAUCUACACCCUCAAGCUCUGCUUGGUGUUGGGCGUCUGUCCCGCCUCCUUCGCGCGCGGACUCGCCCCAAAUCCAUUGGCGGCGGCCCUUGCCUCCCUCUCGCGCAGCACAUUGCGCUUCUCGAGGCGCGGCGGACCGCGUCCAGCAAGCAACCGUCACACCGUCUUUGACCUCGGAUCAGGUAGGGAUACCCGCUGAACUUAAGC
rnacentral:misc_RNA from 1 species